GAUGAACGCUAGCUACAGGCUUAACACAUGCAAGUCGAGGGGUAACGAGAGGAAAGCUUGCUUUCCUUGUCGACGACCGGCGCACGGGUGAGUAACGCGUAUCCAACCUGCCCCCAACUAGGGAAUAACCUUGCGAAAGUAAGACUAAUACCCUAUAAUUUCCUCAGAUGUCAUCUGACGAGGAAUAAAGAUUUAUCGGUUGAGGAUGGGGACGCGUCUGAUUAGCUUGUUGGCGGGGUAACGGCCCACCAAGGGAACGAUCAGUAGGGGUUCUGAGAGGAAGGUCCCCCACAUUGGAACUGAGACACGGUCAAACUCCUACGGGAGGCAGCAGUGAGGAAUAUUGGUCAAUGGGCGGAAGCCUGAACCAGCCAAGUAGCGUGCAGGAUGACGGCCCUAUGGGUUGUAAACUGCUUUUAUACAGGAAUAAAGUUAGCCACGUGUGGUUAUUUGUAGGUACUGUAUGAAUAAGGACCGGCUAAUUCCGUGCCAGCCGCCGCCGUAA
rnacentral:rRNA from 1 species